GCUGAUAUGGCCGAGUCGUUAAGGCGAGUGAUUUGAAUGCAUGGCUGCUUUGCCACCUUGCGCAAAUAUCACUUGGGCAUUGCCCGCGUAGGUUCAAAUCCUGCUGUCAGCG